UUUUUAGUGGCGAACGGGUGAGUAACACGUAAGUAACCUGCCUUUAAGACGAGGAUAACAACCGGAAGGUUACUAAGACUGGAUAGGAAACAAAAAGGCAUCUUUUUGUUUUUAAAAGACCUUCUUACGAAGGUAUGCUUAAAGAGGGGCUUGCGCCACAUUAGUUAGUUGGUAGAGUAAAAGCCUACCAAGACGAUGAUGUGUAGCUGGACUGAGAGGUUGAACAGCCACAUUGGGACUGAGACACGGCCCAAACUCCUACGGGAGGCAGCAGUAGGGAAUUUUCGGCAAUGGAGGAAACUCUGACCGAGCAACGCCGCGUGAACGAUGAAGUAUUUCGGUAUGUAAAGUUCUUUUAUUGAAGAAGAAAAAGUAGUGGAAAAACUAUAUUGACGUUAUUCAAUGAAUAAGCCCCGGCUAACUAUGUGCCAGCAGCCGCGGUAUCACAUAUUUGUUGGAGCGUUAUCCCUAAUUAGUGGGUUGACACGGCGCGUAUGCUGUUCCAAAACUCUAUCUCUUAUCUUCAGUGCUUACCGCUGUCUUGUAAUGAAGACUGUCAUGACUAGAUUGAUAUAGAAGCGAGCAGAUUUCCAUGUGUAGCGGUAAAAUGUGUAAAUAUAUGGAGGAACACCAGAAGCGUAGGCGGCUUGCUGGGUCUUUACUGACGCUGAGGCACGAAAGCGUGGGUAGCAAACAGGAUUAGAUACCCUGGUAGUCCACGCCGUAAACGAUGAGUACUAAGUGUCGGGGUAAAACUCGGUACUGAAGUUAACACAUUAAGUACUCCGCCUGAGUAGUACGUACGCAAGUAUGAAACUUAAAGGAAUUGACGGGACUCCGCACAAGCGGUGGAUCAUGUUGUUUAAUUCGAAGAUACACGAAAAAUCUUACCAGGUCUUGACAUACUCUGCAAAGCUAUAGAAAUAUAGUGGAGGUUAUCAGGGAUACAGGUGGUGCAUGGUUGUCGUCAGUUCGUGUCGUGAGAUGUUAGGUUAAGUCCUAAAACGAACGCAACCCUUGUCGCUUAAUUGCCAGCACAUAAUGGUGGGGACUUUAACGAGACUGCCAAUUAAACAUUGGAGGAAGGUGAGGAUUACGUCAAAUCAUCAUGCCCCUUAUGAUCUGGGCUACAAACGUGAUACAAUGGCUGUGACAAAGAGUAGCUGAAACGCGAGUUUUUAGCCAAUCUCAAAAAAGCAGUCUCAGUUCGGAUUGAAGUCUGUAACUCGACUUCAUGAAGUUGGAAUCGCUAGUAAUCGCGAAUCAGCAUGUCGCGGUGAAUACGUUCUCGGGGUUUGUACACACCGCCCGUCAAACCACGAAAGUUAGCAAUGCCCGAAAGCAGUAGC
rnacentral:rRNA from 1 species